rnacentral:rRNA from 1 species
GGCGGCGUGCUUAACACAUGCAAGUCGAGCGAGGCGGAGGGGGCAACUCCUCCAGUCGAGCGGCGGACGGGUGAGUAACACGUGGGCAAUCUGCCCGAAAGUGGGGAAUACCCCAGGGAAACUUGGGCUAAUACCGCAUGUGGUCGCGACCUCGAGAGGGGAUGCGAUCAAAGGGGGGUCGCAAGACCUCCCGCUUUCGGAGGAGCCCGCGCCCGAUUAGCUAGUUGGUGAGGUAAUGGCUCACCAAGGCUUCGAUCGGUAGCCGGCCUGAGAGGGUGAUCGGCCACACCGGAACUGAGACACGGUCCGGACUCCUACGGGAGGCAGCAGUGGGGAAUCUUGCGCAAUGGGCGAAAGCCUGACGCAGCAACGCCGCGUGAAGGAUGAAGGUCCUUGGAUUGUAAACUUCUGUCGGCCGGGAAGAAAUUCAUCGGGGUCAAUACCCCCGGUGAUUGACUGU